AUGUUUACUCCGCAGGGGAAAGGAUGGAACGGCUGGUCCACGCCGUCUCCAGGGAACCAGCGGGCCGGUGGUGGCGCUCCGCCCGCAUCUGCGCCCCUUGGCAAGGCCAAAGGGACUUCACAGAGAGCUGCCGAGCUCGAGCAGGAGUUACAUGAAUAUCAAUACAAUAUGGGGCUGCUCUUGAUUGAGAAAAAAGAGUGGGCAGCCAAAUUUGAUGAAGUCACCCACGUGCUGACACAAAAGGAGGAGAUCUUGAAGCGGGAACAAGCUGCACAUUUGAAUGCUAUAUCAGAAUAUGAAAGGCGAGAAGAAAACAUGCGGAAAUCACUGGGUGUUGAGAAACAAUGUGUAGCUGAUCUUGAAAAGGCACUACGUGAAAUUCGAUCAGAGAUAGCUGAGGUUAAGUUCACGUCUCAGAAAAAGAUAGCUGAUGCUCAAUCUCUUGAGGCUAAUUUGGAGGAAAAAUCUUUGGAGAUCGAGGGGAAGCUUCAUGCUGCAGAUGCGAAGCUUGCGGAGGCAAACCGUAAGAAGUCACAAGCUGACAGAGAUUUAGAGGAGGCAGAAGCUCGGCAACGUAGGUUGGAGAAGGAGAAGCUAUAUUUUGAGACUGAGAGGAAGGCCCGAGAGAAGCAACUCAAGGAGCAGGAGGAAUCUCUGCAGGACUGGGAGAAAAAGCUUAAAGAAAGUCAGAACAGACUCGUUGAUUUGCAGAGAUCUGUAAAUGACAGAGAGGAGAGAGCAAAUGAGAAUGACAAACUUUGUAAGAUAAAACAGGAAGAAUUGGAGGAGGCAAAGAAGACAGUGGAGUCAACUAAAAUCAUUUUGAAAACAAAGGAGGAUGAUAUUGCCAAAAGGUUAAAUGAAUUACGCUCACAAGAGAAGGAUGCUGACUCAAAGCACAAGAUUUUGGAAAAAAGGGAGAAAAAGUUAUCUGAGAGGGAAGAAAAAGCUAGUGCAAGAGAAAAAAUGGGGCUUCAGAAGCUUAUCGAGGAUCAUGAGGUGAAGCUUGAAGCAAAAAGACGAGAUUUUGAAUUAGAACUGGAGAGUGAGAGGAAAUCUUUUGAUGAAAGAAUGAAACAUAGGGAAGCUGAUUUGGUAAAGAAGGAAAAAGAUCUCAGUUCUCGGGAGAACAAAAUAUCUAAAAGGGAGCAAGCGUUAAAUGAAAGCAAGAAAAAGCUGGAAGAAUUGCAGAAUGACCUUGAUACCAAGUCAAAAGCUCUGAAGAAGUGGGAUGAGUCACUGAAACUUGAGAAGGAUAAGUUAUCUGAAGAAAAGCUGCAAGUGGAUCAUGAACGAAAACAGGCUGAGAUGUACAGAUCGGAUAUUGAAAGGCUGAAAGCCACAAUUGAAGCUGAAAAGAAGCAAAUUUUAGAAGAACAAAACAAUUUGAAAGUUACAGAGGAAGAGAGGCAAGAGCACAGCAUGCUGACAGCACAACUGAAGAAGGAGAUUGAUGAGUAUAGAAUGCGAAGCAAUUCCCUUUCGGAAGAAACUGAAGAUUUGAGGAAGCAGCGGCAGAAAUUUGAAGAAGAGUGGGAGCAGCUUGAUGAAAAAAGAGCUCGGCUAGAAGAGGAGGCAAAGGUGCUCAAGAAUGAAAAAACAAAUCUAGAAAGGUGGCGUCACAAUGAAGAGAAGAGAUUUAAGGAUACACAGGAUGAAAUGGAUGCAAAGUACAAGGAGCAGCAGGAUAAUCUUGCACUCAAGGAAAAAGCUUUGGCUGAUGAUAUAAAACACCAGCGUGAGGAGAUUGAUGAAUAUCUGAAGAGAGAACGUGCUGAUCUUCAGCGUAAUUUGCAGCUCCAUCGACAUGAACUGGAGAUGGAGAUAGCGAAUAAACUAGCAAUUAAACAGAAGGAACUGGAACAGAAGGAGGAUGAGUUAAAUAAGAAAAGAGAUUUUGUAGAAAAUGAACUAAAGCAUGCUGUUGAUUUGAAUGAGUCCAAGAUUCAAAAGAUAACAUUGGAGAAACAACAGCUGCUGAGGGAAAAAGAAGUUCUAGUGGAGGAGAAGCGAAAAUUGGAAACUGACAAGGCAGACAUUAGAAGAGACAUUGAUAGUCUUCAUGCACUCAGCAACAGUCUGAAGGAUCGUCGAGAAGCAUACAACAGGGACAGGAAUAACCUCAUUGACAUGUUUGAAAAGUACAAGGUGUGCAAAAGCUGUGGGGUUUCUGUUUUUGAGGGCUUUGGUGAUCUAUCUCUCAAGGAUGAUGCUGAUAUUGACCACCCAAGUUUGGCUGUUGAGGGAGAUGAUCGUUCCCCGAACACUGAUGCUUUGGCUCAAGACACAGGAACACUUGUUAAUUCAGCUGGUCGUUUCUCACUGUUGCAGAAGUGUUCAAGGCUUUUCAAGUUCUCUCCUAGGACAAAGGCCGAGCAGUCAUCGGAACAGGAAGCGGAAAUAAACAUUCCUUUUGGUGUGAGAUUAGAGGAAGCAUCACCGAGUGAAGCAGAUUAUGAGCCAACUCCUGUCUAUCAGGCAGCAAAUAAUUCUUUUGAUGCUGAGGGUCUCCCUUCUGACAGUGGAGCAAGGGGGAAUGAAGAAUCCGAAAGGCUUGAUAUAGCUGAUGAUAUCCAGAUCGAGUCUUCUGUUGGAGUCGCAGAUAAUUGUAUAGAUGUUCAUGGAAGUCAGCCAUUUGCUGGUGCUAAUGACAUGGCAGUUGACACAACAAUUGCCUCUGUGGACCAAAAUGGAAAGGACUCAACGGCUGCCCCUGAAGUAGAUUUGCAACCUGAAGCAUCAAAUCCUCCAAAACGGAGGGGUAGACCAAGAGGGGUGAAAAAGACAAAGUCGGUUCGUGCAGUGCUUGAAGAUGCUAAAGUAAUUCUUGGUGAGAAUUUUGAUGAAAAGAAUGAUGAUCAGGAAGAUUCAGUUACUGUUGGUGGUACACGGAAGAGGCGCCUUGCUGGACCAGAUAUCAGUGAUGAAGAAAUUAGUGAAGCACAAUCUGAAAGUGUUUCAGUUGGUGGGCAGCGUCGCAAGAGGCGGCAGCCAGCCGGCCCAUCAACGCAAGCCCCAGGUGAAAAACGCUACAAUUUGAGACGCACUACAGUUGCAAAUGCGGCGGCAGCAGCUCCUCCUCCACCGGAGAAAAAGAAAGGUGGGAGGACAGGGAAAAAGCGGACGGUAGAAACUACUGCUGAUGACACGGAAGGAACCUCUAAAGCUGCUGAUAGCAAGAGGACGGGGCCUUCUGAAUCAGCUGAUGGUGCAUCGCAGUUGCAAGAGUUCUCCCAGGCUGAAACUGUUGAUGCCCAUGCUACUGCCGGUGAGGAGUAUGGUGAUAUUGUUGUGGAUGGUGAACAAGGUGAAGAUGCGAUGCCCAUGACACCAUCAGGAAGUGAGCGUGGGGGCGUCGAAGAUGAUGACGAGGAUGAUGAUGAUGAUGAUUCAGAGAGGCGAAACAAAUCGAUUGGGAAAACGCUAUGGUCUUUCUUCACGACAUAA
rnacentral:rRNA from 1 species